UAUUACAGCCAACCAUAUUUUUUACAGUCCUGGGGCUGCUUUUUUUCCCAUCCAGGGAGCGAUUACGUGGAGCGAUCCAUAUGCAGCUACCAAAACCGAUCCUACACAUAACAAAGAGCUGAGCGCGUGUUCACUUCCUCCCCCACUCUCUCUCUCCUCUCGCAUCCACCGGCCACUUCUCGCACCCAUCGCGCGUAUUUCUGGAUCCCGGCGGAGGAAGAUUAGCGGGAGUGAGCGUAAGUGCAGAUUAGCACCAGGUGAGCGAAUCCACACGCGCGCAGCAUGCUCAAAACCAUGUUCCCCAAGUUUUUUCGUCGAUUUGAUUUUGUUUUUCGCCUUUUUGUUUGGCUGAGGCCAUCGGCGUGCGCUUCUGGAAUCCGGUGAGGCAUCCGGGGGUGGGGGGAGGGGCGGGAAUCUUCGGACCAGAUUAAGACAGCAACAUCUCGCGGGCUUGAAAUCUGGUGGCGCAGGUUCAAAAUUAGGAGACAUCAAUAGCUUGUGUGACUUUUUCUAUGCUCUCUGGAAUCCAGUGGGGGGAAGUGCAGGUUCAGAAAUCAUGUGAGCGGUCCCUUUUUUUUUGCAUCGUGAUUGUUUUUUAUUUUUUUCCAGUGCCUAUGUGGGUUUUUUUCCUCAGAUUUCUGGUGUGUGAAGGUUUGUUUAUAGUGGAAGGAUUCCUGCUAGAGGAAAAAAGCGCACACAGGUAAGUCAAAUUGAUCCCCUCCCUCCUCCCCCCAAUCCAGUAUGGGUUCUGUGAUUUUUUAGUUAGAUAUGUGUUUUGGCUACAUUUUGGUAGUUGUUUGUUGGGGAUGGGGAGGGAGGUAGGGGAUAUCAGGCUUUUUGAUGGUAGUGCUGAUGAAAUAAAUUAUAGAUUGCACCGAUGAAUAGUUGUUGCUGUCUGAAUAAAUCAUAGUGCAUAAAUCAUAGAUUGCACUGAUGAAGUUUUUGCUGUCUGAAUUUGUUUGCACUCAUAAACUGUGUUUUUUUUGUUGUUUGUACAUUUUAGUAUAUGAAAGUUUUACUCCAUUAGGCAAUAAAAAUAACAGAAACUUUAGGAAAACAAAUAUGGUUCUGGAUUAUUAAAAUAAUAUACUUCAUUAGGCAUUAACAUGGUUCUGAUUAGGCAAUAAUAUGGAAAACUGAACUGAUUUUCUCCUAUACAGUAGCCAGCGAUUGCAGCUACAGUUGUUCUGUAUUUUCUCCCUGAAUUUCAGGGGCAAGUACACCUACAUGUGCAACUUGGUCUCUAUUUUCUUGUCUUCUCCUAUUGCAGCAGCUUUUGGUCGAUUAGCAGCUCACGCAGGUAAUCAGCAGGGACAAAUAGCUUGUCAGGUUUCUUCAGAGACACAUUGAGGUACUUAGGGUCUGUUCGUUUCCUGCUAUCUAAACUUUAGACCCAUCACAUCAAAGAGAAUCUUACUAUUUAGAAGUAUUAAAUAAAAUCUGUUUAUAAAACUUUUUGCACAGCUAGGUGCUAAUUCGCGAGACAAAUUUAAUGAGCCUAAUUAAUCCAUAAUUUGCCACAGUGAUGCUACAGUAAUUGUUCGCUAAUCAUGGACUAAUAUACCUCAUUAGAUUCGUCUUGCGAAUUAGCACUAGGGUUCUGCAAUUAGUUUUGUAAUUAGACUUUAUUUAAUACUUCUAAAUGAUAAGAUUCUGUUUGAUGUGACCCCUCUAAAGUUUAGGUACCCGGAAACGAACACACCCUUAACUGCAUGAACUAUUGUUUAUUCCCACAGUGAUCUGUCACUCGAGUUGUCUUACAUAGAAGUUAUCUGAUUUGUUUAACCCUAUGUGUUCUUUCUUCAGAGCUUGCCUCUUGUGAAUUGGCUAAUUAGUAAUUUGGUUAAACGGUGUAUUAUCAGCAGCUUGGUUUGCUCGUCUGGAUUAGCUCUAUUGUGCAGGCAGGUCAAUUCAGUAGCUGCAACUACAGCUCGAUCAACAGCUGCAAGUGGACAUAAGCAAAAUGCUCGGGUUUCACUCAGGUUCCCAAGUUAUCCUGCGGGGGAGAUCAACUACAAUGCAAGAAGAAGAUAUGAUGUGCAUAUGAACCAUCUCAAGUAAAUAAGUACAUAUGUAGUGAGAGCAAGUGCAUUUAUUGCAAUUUUUUGUCUAAAUAUGUACUUCAUUUGGAAAUAAUGUUGUUCUAGAUUAGACAAAUUAUGCAAUUAUUUUAGGCAAUAAUAUGGUUCUAAAUUAAGUAAUAUUAUGGCCAGAAAUUUAGGAAAUAAUGUGUUUCUGUAUUAACAAAAAUAUGAUCAUAAAUUAGGUUAUAUAGAACUAGCAAUGUUUGUUACUAGAGAUAUUCAGCCUUGCUGAUAUUUUAGUCCUAAUACUAACUGCACUUGCUAUUCGUUUCAGUCAUACAAAACAGUGUUUAGGACCUGAAACUUGAUGUGCUUUUUUUCUGCCUGCAAGUUUCCUCAUCGAAUUGGCUCCAUAACAUGCUCUUCAGCUUGGUGUUUGGUGGCCUGAAAGUUCAUCAGAUUGUCAUCAGCAACAGUUUAAUUGCAGCUCAACCUCGAUUUUGAUUCAUGAGCAGCUUGGUAGUAGUUGUAAUAGCUCUAGUCUUUUUGUUUGGUCAGUACAAUAGUGGAGGCAAUAAGUUGUAUGCUAGUAGUUUUGAAGUUUUGUUAAUGCUUAGAGUUUAGAUGGGUGAAAAUGUGUUUGUAUAUGUUCUAAUUUGUUUAUUGUUUUUCAAAGAUUUGCUUAUCAAAGAGUAAAAAUGAGGUCUGUAUAUUUA